GUGUCAGCCGCCGCGGUAAUACGAAGGGGGCUAGCGUUGUUCGGAAUUACUGGGCGUAAAGCGCGCGCAGGCGGUUUUUCAAGUCAGUGGUGAAAGCCCGGAGCUCAACUCCGGAACUGCCAUUGAAACUGUAAAACUUGAGGAUGAGAGAGGUGAGUGGAAUUCCCAGUGUAGAGGUGAAAUUCGUAGAUAUUGGGAAGAACACCGGUGGCGAAGGCGGCUCACUGGCUCAUAUCUGACGCUCAGGCGCGACAGCGUGGGGAUCAAACAGGAUUAGAUACCCCCGUAGUCC
rnacentral:rRNA from 1 species